rnacentral:RNase_P_RNA from 1 species
UUAAUAUACAGACGCUGCAUAUAUUAGAUAUAUAUUUUAAAGCAGAGGAAAGUCCGGGUUUCAUAGAGCAAGAUGCCAGGUAACGCUGGGAGAGAUUAUCUACGAAAGCUGCAACAGAAACUAUACCGCCUCUUAGGUAAGGGUGAAAGGUAUGCUAAGAACAUGCUAUUAUAUUGGGAACAGCCUAUAUAUGUAAGCUCCAUCUGAAACAAAGCUAACUAAAAGUUCUAAAGGUAUUGCUCGUAUUGGGUUGGGUAGAAUGCUUGAACUAAUAUGAGAUUAUUAGUCUAGAUAAAUGGAUGUUUAAUAUACAGAACCCAGCUUAUAUUAGUUUC